GUGGGUGUAGCUCAGCUGGUUAGAGCGCAGGAUUGUGGCUCCUGAGGCCGUGGGUUCGACCCCCAUCACUCACC
rnacentral:tRNA from 1 species